AAAAAAAGAAAAAAAUGCCAUGGGAAACUAGCAGCAAGGGGCGUCCAUGGAGAAAGAGCUGCUGCGGCAUCAGCCUCUCGCCAUGGAUGGAGCUCAGAUGGGGGAGGAAGAAGUCGGCCGGAGAUGCAGCGCAGGUACUGGCGGCCAUGGGAGAAACUCGAGCUCGCUGCCAUGGGGGAUGCUUCAGCGCGUCGAGGAAGAAGGAGCAGGGGGCGCCAUGGCUGGCCGAGGUGUGGAGGCCGUCGGCCAUGGAAGGCAGAGAGCAGAGGGCAUGCACACCAAGGAGGAAGAGGGCUGGCGUGGGGAGAAGAAGACAGGGAGGCUGUGGCGGCUGGGGAGAAGUG
rnacentral:misc_RNA from 1 species